UACGUAGGGUGCGAGCGUUGUCCGGAAUUAUUGGGCGUAAAGAGCUUGUAGGCGGUUUGUCGCGUCUGCUGUGAAAAUCCGGGGCUCAACCCCGGACUUGCAGUGGGUACGGGCAGGCUAGAGUGUGGUAGGGGAGACUGGAAUUCCUGGUGUAGCGGUGAAAUGCGCAGAUAUCAGGAGGAACACCGGUGGCGAAGGCGGCAUCCUGGACCGAUACUGACGCUGAGGAGCGAAAGCCAGGGGAGCAAACGGG
rnacentral:rRNA from 1 species